rnacentral:rRNA from 1 species
AUUGAACGCUGGCGGCAGGCCUAACACAUGCAAGUCGAGCGGAGCGGCGGACGGGUGAGUAAUGCCUAGGAAUCUGCCUGGUAGUGGGGGAUAACGUCCGGAAACGGGCGCUAAUACCUCAUACUUUCAGUUGAGCCUAGGUCGGAUUGGCUAGUUGGUGGGGUAAAGGCCGACCAAGGCUACGAUCCGUAACUGGUCUGAGAGGAUGAUCAGCCACACUGGAACUGAGACACGGUCCAGACUCCUACGGGAGGCAGCAGUGGGGAAUAUUGGACAAUGGGCGAAAGCCUGAUCCAGCCAUGCCGCGUGUAUGAAGAAGGUCUUCGGGUUGUAAAGCACUUUAAGUUGGGAGGCGUUACCAACAGAAUAAGCACCGGCUAACUCCGUGCCAGCAGCCGCGGUAAUUC